AUUCCUUCUAGAAGCAAAACAACAUUUUUGAAGUACAGCCUUGAGAGAUAGUGGUCAUACAAUUUCUGGCACCAAAAGUUAAAUGAAUGAUUGAAAUAAGGUGGUCCAGUAAGAGCAUACAUUGUACCCUCCUCGACAAAUGCAAGGAUAAAUGCAAAUAUUUCUCACAUCUAUGAUGCAAAUUGAACUCAGUAACUUUGGUGUAAUGAUGGUGAAUCAGCCAUAGUGUUGAAAUGAUUUUGGCAUACGCACUUACGGGGAGAAACGGAGUCGUCAAGAAAUCUCACACGUCAUACGCCAUUUUAAAGAAAAAGCUUUCGUCGGUAAUAAACGCGUGGAUCGCGAUCACCGAGUGAGACCACGAGUAUCCACGAUGUCGACUAUUCACUCCAUGAACUGUCAAACAAAACCACGUGCUCGACUAGCAGACGAUUAUGAUCACUUAUGACAGAAGAUGUAGCUCAUUGAGCUUUAAACUGAAAGCUGAAAGUGACUGAAAUCGUUCAGGAGUUACCCAGUUAUGUAUGACAACUAUCUCAUCUUUAUCAAAUCUCUAUAAGAAAAAUUUAUCCGAUAUCAUGUGUUUUUAUUUCUACCAAUCACUAAUCAGUGACAAUUUUUGAAGAAAUCCUUCAUCCUUCUUUGGUCACUUGAUCGCGCCAUACAGAAGAUGAAUAACUGCAAUAAAUAGUGUCACUGACUUGUGUCAUACUCAUUAGUAUAAAUUGAGGCAAUAUUACAUUGAAUUAAUGUCUGACAUAUGGUGUAUCUGAUAUAUACAUUUAUAUUCCUGCUUCAUUAUACACAUGAAACAGAUAUGAUUAUUUAUUUCUACUUUGUCUCUUGUUUAUUUUUACACAGGAAUCUGAAUAUUUGUCUUUGAUAGUCAUAAUUGCUCAAUCAGUUCACAUUAGCCAUUAAUUUUGAAUUUCAGCUUUUAAUAUAAUAAUUUGACCACCAUACAACACAGCAAUAUGCCAAUGCUGUUCUUCCUAUGUCUCAAUAUGUCAGAUGGUAUAGUGCGAUUUGAUUAUUGGAGACACUGCCUCAGUGCAUAUCAAACAUUUUGGGAUACCAUCAUAUCCCCCAGUGACACACAUUCUAAGUUAUUGCUAAUUUCUACUUGUGAUCAUGUAAUUACUAUUUAGUCCUAUUUCAAACACAUUUAUCAUGUACUAGUUGCAGGUAAAACCUGAUCAUUAGGAUGGUCCUUUGCUGCCAAACCCAGUUUAAUAGAUAAAUUGUUUUUUCACUGUCAGACCCUAGGCCAAUGGAAACACAGUCCACUUAGCUUAUAUUUUUAUUAGAACGAGAAUGAGACAGCAAUCAAACAUUUUAUUUAUUCUUAUAAUAUUUUUUUUUAAUCGAUAAAAAAUUGCUCAGAAACUUAUGGCAUCAGGUGUGAUUGAUAUUAUCCUUCGUGAUUCCAUAAAUUAUCACCUUAAUGAUAAUUAGUCACAUUUGAAUUAGUUUCACAUUGAAAAAAUGGUGAAAUUUUAUUUUUGGAUAGUAAAUGAAGUCAAAAAUGAACAUUAUCGCUAUCGCUAAUAUUUUCGCACAGGGUCCCAUUUUUGCGAAUACAGGCUGAUGAAGCAUGUGUUCCCAUUAGCUUUACAAUUAGUAUCUUGACAUUAAAAAGAAAAAAAAAACGAACUCCUUGUGACUAGAAACAGGUUUGGCGGGUGAUAAGAAAAAAAAUUUCCAACCCCUUAAUAGGGGAACCCUAAUUUAUGCACAUAUGUAUUGUGAAGUCAAUGCUACUGCUCUAAUAGUAGUUCAAGACGCCAGUAUUGGGUAGACCCAAAAGUUUUUAUCAAUAUUAAAUUACGCAACAAAUGAUUACAUUUGGCUAGUACAAAUUGGAAUGUGAGACUCAAAUAUUCGUGCAUGGUUUGUGGCAAGCAAAUGUAAUAGAAACCUGAUUUUCAUCACAUUGCAUGUCUAAAAUUAUGUAAUAUGAUAAAGGAUGUCAUAAGGCAUGCGUGGAAACAACUCAUGUUAAUCAGGGAGAGUUAUUAUUCUGUUGCUAACACGUCAUUGAAAAUAUUGAUUGAUCGUAAUGAACAAAGAAUAAAUCAUAAAUAGGCAUUAAAUAGACUUCUCACAAAGUGAAGCAAAAAUGCGAACUGCAUGUAUCGAUCUAUUGCUAAUUGCUUUUUCUGUGGUGUUUAAAUGAAAUCAGCCAUUUAAAUGAAUCAAUUCUGAAGUUGUGAUCAGAACAUAGGUAUGUGUAUGCAAUUAUAAUAAGUUCAACUUUAUCUGGUGUUUAUUCCUCCCUGGUCUCUGAAAUCUUGUUGCGAAACACUAGGUAAAAUUCAUGUUUCGGUACUGAAAAACACUGGACGUAAAUUCAUAUGAAUAAAGGUCACUUAUCCGCGAUUGAAUCGAUAAACAUUACAAAUAGUAAUAAAAUUUAAUCACUUCAAAAUUUAGUUUUCACCUUUUGUUUUAUUUCUCGUUUGACAUCGAUAAAAAAUUAUAUAUUUCGAUAAUUAUUUUAUUAUUAAUUAUUAUAUCUUAUUGUUCCAUUAGAUUUUAAACUAAAAUGCUCCAUGGCCUUUUGUAGCAGGCACCAUCUAUAUACCUAUAAAUAUAAAGUAGAUUUAUUGUUAUUUAUUAUCAAUAUUCAAUUUAUCUUAUUGUAAUGAUCAAUCAUAAUAACUCACAAAUACUAACUCUAUUACUUUUUGAGAUUAAUUAUCGUGGGUGAUCAGUGCAAAAUAGACAAAUAAUUAACUGUUCUAUAUUAUCAUACAUUCAGAGUAAUUGCAAAAACGACUUCUAACUACCGCAGAACAUUUGAGACAUACUUGAGUGAGUGCAAAGUUCUGCGUUUACAGAAAGUCUGUAUUCUCGACAGGCAAAAGUAGUUGAUUAGACCAGUCACCAAUAUACCUCCCAACAUCGGAAUACUCUAACCUUCAGCAGGGGUAUCCAGGGCACUCUGUCUGAAAAAUAUGCUCAGAUUGCAUCGUCGAGACUAGUAACAAAAAUUAA